GGCAGCAGUAGCUCGGUGGUUAAGACGUUGGACUGUUUAUUAGAAGGUUGUGAGUUCAAAUCCCAGCACUGCCA